rnacentral:sRNA from 1 species
CUUGAAUAUUCUAUAUCUUCAAAUUCGUUUGCUAGA